UGGGCCAAUGAUGACUGGGUUUCGGGAUUAUAAGUCACUGACGAUGACUAUAUCAUUGGAGUUCUGAGGUCCAC